AUUGAACGCUGGCGGCAGGCCUAACACAUGCAAGUCGAACGAGUGGCGGACGGGUGAGUAAUGUCUGGGAAACUGCCUGAUGUAGGGGGCUAACUACUGGAAACGGUAGCUAAUACCGCAUACCAUCGGAUCUGCCCAGAUGGGAUUAGCUAGUAGGUGGGGUAAAGGCUCACCAAGGCGACGAUCCCUAGCUGGUCUGAGAGGGUGACCAGCCACACUGGGACUGAGACACGGUCCAGACUCCUACGGGAGGCAGCAGUAGUGAAUAUUGCACAAUGGGAGAAAGCCUGACGCAGCAAUGCCGCGUGAAUGAAGAAGGUCUUCGGGUUGUAAAGUACUUUGGUCAGGGAAGCGUUACCUACAGAGAAAGCAACGGCUAACUCCGUGCCAGCAGCCGCGGUAAUAC
rnacentral:rRNA from 1 species